rnacentral:rRNA from 1 species
AAUAGGUAUGCUUAGGGAGGAGCUUGCGUCACAUUAGUUAGAAGGUGGGGUAAAGGCUUACCAAGACUAUGAUGUGUAGCCGGGCUGAGAGGUUGAACGGCCACAUUGGGACUGAGACACGGCCCAAACUCCUACGGGAGGCAGCAGUAGGGAAUUUUCGGCAAUGGAGGAAACUCUGACCGAGCAACGCCGCGUGAACGAUGAAGUAUUUCGGUACGUAAAGUUCUUUUAUUAGGGAAGAAUAAAUGAUGGAAAAAUCAUUCUGACGGUACCUAAAGAAUAAAACCCGGCUAACUAUGUGCCAGCAGCCGCGGUAAUACAUAGGGGGCAAGCGUUAUCCGAAUUAUUGGGCGUAAAGGGUGUGUAGGCGGUUAAAUAAGUUUAUGGUCUAAGUACAAUGCUUAGCAUUGUGAUGCUAUAAAAACUGUUUAGCUAGAGUAAGAUAGAGGCAAGUGGAAUUCCAUGUGUAGUGGUAAAAUGCGUAAAUAUAUGGAGGAACACCAGUAGCGAAGGCGGCUUGCUGGGUCUUUACUGACGCUGAGGCACGAAAGCGUGGGGAGCAAACAGGAUUAGAUACCCUGGUAGUCCACGCCGUAAACGAUGAGUACUAAAUGUUGGGUAAAACCAGUGUUGAAGUUAACACAUUAAGUACUCCGCCUGAGUAGUACGUACGCAAGUAUGAAACUUAAAGGAAUUGACGGGACUCCGCACAAGCGGUGGAUCAUGUUGUUUAAUUCGAAGGUACCCGAAAAACCUCACCAGGUCUUGACAUGCUUCUGCAAAGCUGUAGAAACACAGUGGAGGUUAUCAGUUGCACAGGUGGUGCAUGGUUGUCGUCAGCUCGUGUCGUGAGAUGUUGGGUUAAGUCCCGCAACGAGCGCAACCCUUAUUGUUAGUUGCCAGCACGUAAUGGUGGGGACUUUAGCAAGACUGCCAGUGAUAAAUUGGAGGAAGGUGGGGACGACGUCAAAUCAUCAUGCCCCUUAUGACCUGGGCUACAAACGUGAUACAAUGGCUGUUACAAAGGGUAGCUGAAACGUAAGUUUUUGGCGAAUCUCAAAAAAACAGUCUCAGUUCGGAUUGAAGUCUGCAACUCGACUUCAUGAAGUUGGAAUCGCUAGUAAUCGCG